UACGUAGGGGGCAAGCGUUGUCCGGAUUUAUUGGGCGUAAAGAGCGUGUAGGCGGCCAUGCAGGUCCGUUGUGAAAACUCGAGGCUCAACCUCGAGACGCCGAUGGAAACCGCAUGGCUAGAGUCCGGAAGAGGAGAGUGGAAUUCCUGGUGUAGCGGUGAAAUGCGCAGAUAUCAGGAAGAACACCCGUGGCUAAGGCGGCUCUCUAGUACGGUACUGACGCUGAGGCGCGAAAGCGUGGGGAGCAAACAGG
rnacentral:rRNA from 1 species